rnacentral:rRNA from 1 species
AGAGUUUGAUCCUGGCUCAGGAUGAACGCCGGCGGUGUGCCUAAUACAUGCAAGUCGAACGCGUUGGCCUAACUGAUUGAACGUGCUUGCACGGACUUGACGUUGGUUUACCAGCGAGUGGCGGACGGGUGAGUAACACGUAGGUAACCUGCCCCGAAGCGGGGGAUAACAUUUGGAAACAGAUGCUAAUACCGCAUAACAAUUUGAAUCGCAUGAUUCAAAUUUAAAAGAUGGCUUCGGCUAUCACUUUGGGAUGGACCUGCGGCGCAUUAGCUUGUUGGUAGGGUAACGGCCUACCAAGGCUGUGAUGCGUAGCCGAGUUGAGAGACUGAUCGGCCACAAUGGAACUGAGACACGGUCCAUACUCCUACGGGAGGCAGCAGUAGGGAAUCUUCCACAAUGGGCGCAAGCCUGAUGGAGCAACACCGCGUGAGUGAAGAAGGGUUUCGGCUCGUAAAGCUCUGUUGUUAGAGAAGAACGUGCGUGAGAGCAACUGUUCACGCAGUGACGGUAUCUAACCAGAAAGUCACGGCUAACUACGUGCCAGCAGCCGCGGUAAUACGUAGGUGGCAAGCGUUAUCCGGAUUUAUUGGGCGUAAAGCGAGCGCAGGCGGUUUGAUAAGUCUGAUGUGAAAGCCUUUGGCUUAACCAAAGAAGUGCAUCGGAAACUGUCAGACUUGAGUGCAGAAGAGGACAGUGGAACUCCAUGUGUAGCGGUGGAAUGCGUAGAUAUAUGGAAGAACACCAGUGGCGAAGGCGGCUGUCUGGUCUGCAACUGACGCUGAGGCUCGAAAGCAUGGGUAGCGAACAGGAUUAGAUACCCUGGUAGUCCAUGCCGUAAACGAUGAGUGCUAGGUGUUGGAGGGUUUCCGCCCUUCAGUGCCGCAGCUAACGCAUUAAGCACUCCGCCUGGGGAGUACGACCGCAAGGUUGAAACUCAAAGGAAUUGACG